GCUGGUGGUAAUGGCAGGAGUGAAACACCCGGUAACAUUCCGAACCCGGAAGUUAAGCCUCCUAGCGCCUGUGGUACUUUGUCUUAAGACAUGGGAGAGAGGGUCGCUGCCAGCC
rnacentral:rRNA from 16 species